GACGAACGCUGGCGGCGUGCUUAACACAUGCAAGUCGUACGGUAAGGCCCUUUCGGGGGUACACGAGUGGCGAACGGGUGAGUAACACGUGAGUAACCUGCCCACAACUUUGGGAUAACGCUAGGAAACUGGUGCUAAUACUGGAUAUGUGCUCCUGCUGCAUGGUGGGGGUUGGAAAGCUCCGGCGGUUGUGGAUGGACUCGCGGCCUAUCAGCUUGUUGGUGGGGUAGUGGCCUACCAAGGCGGCGACGGGUAGCCGGCCUGAGAGGGUGACCGGCCACAUUGGGACUGAGAUACGGCCCAGACGCCUACGGGGGGCAGCAGUGGGGAAUAUUGCACAAUGGGCGCAAGCCUGAUGCAGCAACGCCGCGUGCGGGAUGACGGCCUUCGGGUUGUAAACCGCUUUCAGCAGGGACGAAGCUUUUUGUGACGGUACCUGCAGAAGAAGCACCGGCUAACUACGUG
rnacentral:rRNA from 1 species